AUUUACUCUCUUAUCCUGAGAAUGACCAACAGCCCUGUAAAAGACAGAGCACUUCUUUUUCUUUGCUAGCUGAACUGGAUCCAUUCAUCCUCAAUGUCACAGAAGAAAAACGAUGUGAUGAAAACCUUUCUUGAAUAGACAUACCAGAGAUCAGGCUCUGUGUCAGGCUUGGAUCCGUAGUGGUGAGGUGAGUUGAGAUGAAGAAAAUCUGUGGAGAAAAAAAGAAGAUGAAAACAUGAAACAAACACAGAUGUACGCUCAUAGACUUGUCUAGGGUGAAGCAAUCACAAGGCACCUGGAGAAAGGAGUGGGGAAGCCGAAAAAGUGCAACUACUCAAAAGAUGGUCCAUAGAGAGAGUAGAUUACAGGAAUCCUGUCCUGUAACAACAGCUUCUGCCCAAGCUCCAUCCUCUGGAUCUUACCUGUCCCUUUCCUGAUACCAAAAAACAAGACAAAACAACCCUACAAACUUCGGUAUUACAUGAACGAAAAUAUAGAGAGAAUGAUAUAAGGAGUAACAUUUUAAAAUUUUAUUUAUUGUUAUGUAAUAGAGUACAUAUUUUUGGAGUACAGGUGAUAAUCUAAUAUGUUCGUAUAAUUUGUAAAGAUCAAAUCAGUGUAAUUGGGAUGUCCACCACCUUAAAUAUUUGUCUCUAUUUAUGCAAGAAAUGUUUGAAUUAAUCUCUUCCAGCUACUUUGAAAUGUAUGAUAGAUUAUUAUGAACCACAGUCACCCUACUGAUCUAUCAAACACUUGGUCUUAUUUCUUCUAACUAUAUAUUUUUACUCAUUAGUCAAACUUAAAAAGUUACAUUUUAAAAAAGCAUUGUAGCUUUUAAAAUACUAGUCUAUAUAUUUUCAUGUAAAGACCUAAAAGAACAAGAGUAAUCAUUUAAUAACAUAGUUUUAAAAAUAAUUUCCUUUCAAAGAAUUCUUGAUAACCUUUCAUAUGUCAUUUUGUGACAACUUUAUUUAAAAACUGUUAGUGCUUCAACUGUUAUUAAGCUAAAUGGUCACAGUUCUAUUAAUACGGUAUACUAAAAGUGAAAAUUAUCUAAAUAUUACACUAAAUAUUAUCUAAAUAUCAUUUUGUGACAACUUUAUUUAAAAACUGUUAGUGCUUCAACGGUUAUUAAGCUAAAUGGUCACAGUUCCAUUAAUACUGUAUACUAAAAGUGAAAAUUAUCUAAAUAUACAUUAAAUAUUAUCUAAAUAUUACAUAGUGACCUCAGGGCACUAUAAGACCUCAGGACACCACUAUUCAGUUUCCUAAAUGGCAUCAAAUUGAUUCUGAUGUAAUCAUAUUUGAGUUCAGUAAUACUUUUUGUUGCCCAGAUAUUAGUAGGCACAAAUAAUUUAUUCUUAAUUUUAUUAUUACUAAAAUACUUUGUUUAGUUAGUCUGAUUGUCUAGUUUUUAGCUAAUCUGAUUUGUUUAUUUAAUUUGAUUUUUCAGUGAGGUUUCCAGUUGUUAUGGGAUCAUCUAACCAAGAGUUAGAGCAUUAUCUGAAAAUAUACAUAGACCACGCAUACAGAUAACUUUAAAAUAUGCUUAGGCUGCACUAUUAUCUAAAAACCUUAAAAUGCCAUGCAAGUUUGUGUCACUUGCAUGAGGUGGAUGUCAGACAUGAUGUUUGACAACUUUGGGAGCCAUCACAUUGAAGAUCAUGAGGGCAGACAUGAUGCCAUGAACCCAUAUGGGACCAGCAUUGUUUCCUGAUACUGACAAGAGAAGGCAUCCUCUGUUCGUGCAUAUGCUUGCCAGUUAGGACUACUUGCUGAUGGUUUUUGUUCAAAUAAAAGUUGCCACUAAAAGGAUACUAACUUAAAGAAAUUAUCACUCUCUGUCUCUGGAGAAGCCUAGCAUAUUCAUUUAUGAUUAUUUUAAGAGUGAGGCAAGUUAUGACUUGCCUAUAAAUGUCUCUGCUAUAUAUAAUUAUAUUUUUCUAAACCUUAACUUGAUUUCAAACUUAAGUCUCCAUUCCGCUGAGUGCAGAAAAAUCAUCCCAGCCAAUUCAGAUUAAUUUUGAUCAGAAGUUCCUUUGUCAGGGAUUUAUUUUUCCCCUUCUCUUUUUCCUGGCUUGGAUUUAAGUUCUGGAGGCACUGGUGGCAGGGAGCAGCUGAUCUUCUCACCUUUCCAUGUUAUUGUGUCCACUGACAACAUCUGCAUCCUGGCCAGCACUGGUCUAUGUUGAAGCUACUGCAUCCUCCCUGCCUUCCUGUGAAAGCAAUUGUGUGUGCAGUUUUCUCUGCCAGACUUGCUUCACUCUUGCUAGUGCAGUGAAACAUCCUAUAGAUACUUCUACAGGAUUGCGCCUCACACAGAGUGGUGUGGACAACUCUGUGAGGCUUGCUGCCUCCCAGACUCCCCUUUAGUCAGAGGUCCUCUCUGUGUUCCAAACCCAUCUGAGGCUUUUAUUGGAUAAGUGACACAGUGUAUAGAACCCAUAUUAAAGGCCAUGCUAAUAUUUUAGAUAUUGCUGCCUCUUGAGCUCUCUUCUGAGCCUGGACAACCUUUAUCUUGCAGACAUAUGUAGGUAGGUAGUAGAAGUCUUUUAUAUCUACUGUUUAAUGCAUAAACUUUAUGUUCAAAGUAAAUCAGGCUUACGUUACUCAAAAUGAAGUUAUCUGAAAAUCAAAAUUCCCUUUCUUGCAAAUCAUUGUUUUUGUACUUAAAAAUAAUGUUCUCUUUUCUUGUUCAACACUAAUUUUUCUGCUGCGAUAACCCUGCCCUGAGUUAAUGCAUAUAAAGAUCUAGUCUGAAUGGUGAGAGAGUCAUAGGUUUAUAAGACCACAACAACAAUCAAAUAAUUACAGUGAAUAAAAAGUCAUAUUGAUUAACACAUCAAAAGAAUAACAACCUAUAGCUGGUUGUUCUUUCAUUGCUUUAUCAGAUCAAGCCCACUGUUUGAAAUGGAUAAAAGAGAAUAAUGAGUAGGAUGUCUGGGUGAGAGAUUCUUUUUCCUCUUGCUUUACAAAAAUAGUGACAAUUUUUAUACUCAAAUAUAUAUGAAAUGUUACUGAUAAGUAAAAUUUCAGAAUUUAACUCUGUAAUUUUUGAUGUGCAAUCUUGCAGAGAAAAGAACUUUAGUUGAAGCAAUACAGUAUCAAAUAAUUGUUUUAAGAGUUUGAAUUUUAGAAAAGCUGUCUCAGGUGAAGGGGCAGUUAGUAAUGAUAAAAUUGACUAAAUGUGAGGUUUAUCUUGUCUUACGGGGGUAGUUUUAUUAGGAACAGCACUCAUUCUUUACUUCAAACCUGUAAUAGCUUCUUCUUCCUUUUCCUUAUAAAAUUUGAACAAUUCAACACAGCACUUAGUGACAACUGGGAACUGACUUGAACCCAUAGUAUUUUCAGGCUUUGCCUUUUCUCUGUGUACUUUUGUAAGUCUGCCCCUCAGGGCCCACUGGGCUUCUGCUUUCCUCUCAAACACAUUGAAUUUUUCCAGCUGCACAAACUGAGACAGCCUAUUCCCCUCACCAGGAGGUGUUGCCUUCCUCACAGCGAAUGAGCUACUCCUUUCCUUCCACUCCACCUCAUAUCUCUCUCAGUCUCUGUCACUGCCCCCUUUUCCCCCAUCAUAAGGAAUCUCCAGGCUCUCUCAUAGCUCUCCUACAGCCGAUCAUUAAAGUUAACAUAUAUUAUGGAUAUUUAUGUAGUAAAAACAGGACUAGACACAGAAGAUUAAAACUUGGGGUUUAAAACCCUGCUUUAAACAUCAGACCAAGUCGAUCAUUAAAGUUAACAUAUAUUAUGGAUAUUUAUGUAGUAAAAACAGAACUAGACACAGAAGAUUAAAACUUGGGGUUUAAAACCCUGCGUUAAACAUCACACUAAGUCAUUUCAGUUCUUUGAGCAUCAGCUCAGCCUGUGGAUUUCAUAACUGUCCCUGCACUCUUUUCAGUUGAAGUUUAUUGGCUAAAGUUUUCAACUUCUCGUGUACGGAAACCAAGUCUCAAUUUCAAACAGCGAUUUUACUCCGUAACUAUCUGCUAAAUAAAAUGGAAUGCUGGAUGAGAAGCAAAAAGCUUACUGAUCAGUCUAAUGGGAUAACUGGGGAAAAUAAUGGUAAUGUUUAGUUAUUUUAUUUUAUUCUUAUUGACAAGGGAUAGGUAAGGAGUUGGUCAGGGACUACCCUGUCCCUUCCCUUUAUUUUAGCCAAUGAUUGUGAGUUCCUUCUCCUAUAACCAAGUUUUAUUGCGCUUUCUUUGUAAAACUAAGGAGAGGUAGAAUAUAGUAGUUCAUAGCAAAGAAAAAGGCAGAAGAUUAACUACUAAUUCACAAUUCACUUGACAAGCUUCUGAUUAAAUUCACAAAGUCUUGCCAGGUAAAUACUAAAUCAUGCCACUUUAUUUCAAAGAGGACAAAAAAUACUUCAAUUUCUUGACAACAACCUAAGCCUUUUCAGUAGUUCAACAAGUGGCAUUAGGUGUUUUAGCUCAUCACUAUAGCUUCACGUUUUAUCAUGGGUUCAUGCUGAUGAGAUUAUCUAUUUCAAAUAAGACAAAAAAUAAGCUUACCUCCAUCCUUCUUAGCAAAUCACAUCGGUUAUUCAAUUAUGUGUUCUUUGUUUGUGGGUACCUGAAAUAAUGAGAAGGAAUAGAAAAAGAAAAUUAAAUAUAACUCAACAGCAUUUUGUAAAAGGCAAAUAUUUACAAUUUUAAUUGAUGACAGACACACACUUCAUAAUACGAUUAGCAUGCAACUCCAGCUGCAAAAACUGAACAGCAAUAUGCCUAAGCUGGUUAGCAGCAAAAAAGUAAACCAAUCACAUCGACAAAAAGCCACCAUAAACAAAAAAACUGUAUUUAAAAGAUUAACAGUUUUGGCAUUCAUCCCUAGCAUCAAGUCUUUCACUUUCUUUUUUUCCAUCAAAAUUUAGCUUACAUUUGAAGUUAGCAAGAGUUGCAUUACUAUUAUUGUUAAUUUUAGUUCUGUUUAUUGCCUUGAGGGUUAUAUAAUGUCAAAUAAUUUUGGUGCCUCUAGUUAAUUUUAAUUAGUUGUUUUAAUAGCCUAUAGACCUAUUUGUUAUAUUUUUGUAGGUUUACUUUUUUAACUAUCAGGAACUUAAUAACUGAGAAUAUUUAACAUUACUGUUGCAUAGGCAAAAUUACAGAGUUACUAUUAGUGUUACCUGUUUAACGUUUAGUCAUCCUUUGAGUCCUGCGACAUAUUUCCUUAAUAAUCAUCAGCCAUCAAGUCUGAUAGUCUCAAAAGAAAUAUCAGCCCUCUAAACUGCCUUCUAGGGCGGUGAUAUUUAGCACUGAAAAUUACAAAUAAAGUUUUUGAGGUUGAAUAGCAACAACUGGCCAGUGACACUGAUGAUUUGUUUGUCAAAACAAAUUGUUAUAAACUACGCGAAUGAAGUCCACGCACUCCUUUGAGUGAAAACAAUAAAGUGAAUCUACGCAAUGCUUACAUGUUGGAUGGGAUAUUUAAUGUGCGGGGAAACUCAAAGGUUGAAGAACUAGGCAUUUAGACAGUGGUAAGUGGUAAUCUUACCUCUUUAUACUCCAUUACUCUUUCUCACGAGAGACAUGCUAAUGCAAACAAGUCAAUCAGAAUUUGUGUUUAGCAAGAUAAAGCUUAGAGGAUAGUUUAAAAUCCAUUUAUUAUUCUAAAUCCAUUUUUUUCCAUUAACAUGUUAUACAUUAGUGUUUACUAACCAUGAUUCAUGUAACAGUUUAGUUUGUUAACUUUUAAAUUAUUUAACAACCAUAAGUUAUUAAUACAUUUUUAAGUAUUACACAAAUAUCUUAAAACAGACUUGGGUUCAUUUUUGUAAUUUUUAAAUAGAAAACAUUUUAGGCAUCUCUUGAAGAAGAAAUAAAGCAGGCAUUUAAAGCUAGAAAACAAGUAAUUCCAAAUUUAAUUUUUACAAAAGUUUUCAGCUUUAUUGACAAAUUAUGGCA
rnacentral:lncRNA from 1 species